rnacentral:rRNA from 1 species
CCAGCAGCUGCGGUAAUUCCAGCUCCAAUAGCGUAUAUAAAAGUUGUUGCAGUUAAAACGCUCGUAGUUGAAUUUCUGACGGUGGCGGUCGUGUCGGGCUCUGCUCGUUCGCGGCUGACCUGCGUCAUCCUGCGACAGGACGGCGCUGUCCUUAACUGGGCGGUGUCGCACCUUCGCACUGUUACCUUGAAAAAAUUAGAGUGUUUAAGGCAGGCGUUUGCUUUGAAUACAUUAGCAUGGAAUAACGAAGAUGGACUCAGGUCUUUCUUUGUUGGUUCACGGACCCGAGUAACGAUUAAUAGGGAUAGUUGGGGGCAUUCGUAUUUAAUUGUCAGAGGUGAAAUUCUUGGAUUUGUUAAAGACGAACUACUGCGAAAGCAUUUGCCAAGGAUGUUUUCUUUAAUCAAGAACGAACGU